AGAGUUUGAUUCUGGCUCAGGACGAACGCUGGCGGCGCGCCUAACACAUGCAAGUCGAACGGAGUUGCGACGACAGAUCCCUUCGGGGUGACGUUAUCGUAACUUAGUGGCGAACGGGUGAGUAACACGUGAGUAACCUGCCUUUCAGAGGGGGACAACAGUUGGAAACGACUGCUAAUACCGCAUAAGACCACAGUACGGCAUCGUACAGGGGUCAAAGGAGCAAUCCGCUGAAAGAUGGACUCGCGUCCAAUUAGCUGGUUGGUGAGGUAACGGCCCACCAAGGCGACGAUUGGUAGCCGGACUGAGAGGUUGAACGGCCACAUUGGGACUGAGACACGGCCCAG
rnacentral:rRNA from 1 species